rnacentral:misc_RNA from 1 species
GUGAAGAACGCAGCGAAAUGCUAUACGUAAUGUGAAUUGCAGAAUUCAGUGAAUCAUCGAAUCUUUGAACGCAUAUUGCGCUCUUUGGUAUUCCGAAGAGCAUGCUUGUUUGAGUAUCAGUAAACACCUCAAAGCUUUUGGAUUUUUUAAUCGAAAAGCUUUGGACUUGAGCAAUCCCAACACCAAUCUUUUUGAGAUCGGUGGCGGGUUGCUUGAAAUGCAGGUGCAGCUGGACAUUCUCCUGAGCUAAAAGCAUAUUCAUUUAGUCCCGUCAAACGGAUUAUUACUUUUGCUGCAGCUAACAUAAAGGGAGUUUGACCGUAUUGGCUGACUGAUGCAGGAUUUCACAAGGGUCGGCAACGAUUCUUGUUAAACUCGAUCUCAAAUCAAGUAAGACUACCCGCUGAACUUAAGCAUAUCAAUAAGCGGAGGA